UACGGAGGGUGCAAGCGUUAUCCGGAUUUACUGGGUUUAAAGGGUGUGUAGGCGGACUUUUAAGUCAGGGGUGAAAUCCCGAGGCUCAACCUCGGAACUGCCUUUGAUACUAUUGGUCUUGAAUGUUGUUGAGGUGGGCGGAACGGGGUCAUGUAGCGGUGAAAUGCAUAGAUAUGACCCGGAACACCGAUUGCGAAGGCAGCCCGCUAAGCAACUAUUGACGCUGAGGCACGAAAGCGUGGGGAUCAAACGGAUUAGAACCUACGUAGUCA
rnacentral:rRNA from 1 species